ACUCAGAGUAAGAAUUUGGAGCUCCACAGGGAGGUUUUAUUUUUCAUAUGUGUGUGUUGAGGAACAAGAAGCGAGAAAAUAUGACUGGUGAAGUGUAACCAUCCAAUCCAAAGUAAAAGAAAUCAAAGCUAUGAUGGUUAAAAUGACUCCUCUGCUACCGACCGCAAUCAGCUAGUCAAUCCAACCUCAGCAGCCACAGUAUGAUUAUAUCCCCACUGUGGACUGAAACACUCUGCUGGGUUUAUAUGAAUUAUCAGUGACUGCAGUUUGCUCAUCCACUUUCCUCUCUCUGUGGUGCUUCUUUCCUUGUACCUUAUAACUAUUACCCAGCAGUAACGUACACACCCCAGCUGCCAAUAAAAACUAAUUCAGUCUUUUGGGAAAUCAAGCCAACUUUCGUCGAGGAGUGGCACCAGCUCCAAGUGUCCCACUGAGCGUACUUUAUUUCUCCUUCUGCUUUUCCCUCUCUGCCGUCGCCUCUCAGUAUCUGUGUCAUUCAUUCCCACUCCUCGCUGUGCUACAGUUUCUUCCCCCUCUGUGACCCCCAACUGCCCUUCACUAAAGAAAAAUGUCGAGCUGCAAAAUUGGGGGGCGCUCCGACAAUAUGGUUACUGUGUACACUGGACGUUUAUAUGGAAGGGUGAAUGAUCCCCCCCGUUGGAAAAUUCAAUAGUCUAGCUUUUAGUGUCAUCGCAUAAAGAUCUCUAGAUUUCCAUUCCAUUCACAGUGAGCUGUUUGUCAAUUUGACAAUGAGUGAACCCAGACACGGGCAACUCUUCCUCGUCUUCGGUCGCAAUCGGCGAAGAAGUUGGCCUGAGACAACAAUCAAAGGCAAUUUGGUUCCACAUAAUGUAAUAUAAUGAAAUGGCAUUAGCUUGAACGCAGGUAAGAGGAAUCAAUACACCUUCUGUUUCCAUAACUAAUUUACAUCCAUAACGUGUCAGGAUACUGAGAAGAAAGCUGCUGACGGUUUGAGCUCCAGGAUACUGGCCUGUAUUGUGCUGACACAGCAGAAUAAGCUGCCAGGUAUGACGGAUCAUUAGGAGUUGUCUUUAAAGAAACAAUAUUUUGGGAGGUGAGUUUGUAGUUUGAAGAGAUUUAACUGAGCAUUGUGGUGUGACAGUCAUUUACAGGUUUUAUGUAAUAGUUGCAAUGUGCACACGCUGGCGAAAGAAAAAAAGUUUAGCAUCAAGUUAAGGAUUUGUAAGAACAUGUACCUGGCAUAUCAUGAACAGGCAAAUAAGGGUAAGCAUUCUGACAUCAUCAGGCAAGAAUACAACAGGGAAUUACUGGGAGAUUUAACAGUAAAUCAAAACAGUGAGUGAAGGUCACCAGACACAACCCAGGUUGACGGUAACUUGACAGAGUUUGACAGCAGUUCCAUUUUGCGUAUGAAUAAGGCUUGUGUACUUUUAUUGUGAAAUUUUUCAACCUGAUGGGGUUUGAGAGAUGCUGCAGCAAGCUGAUGUCAGGACUGAUGAGCACGUGAGGGCGCCCAUACAGUGGGGUAGCAUCUGGACAAAUGCCGAGCAUUUGCAGGACCUAACCUCAUGCAUACCCAAACUGCAAUCCCAUCAGAUUGCAUCAACCUAAUGAGUCCAGUAAGGAUUGUCUGUCAUGAUCUUCUCUGCCCCUUCUCCACCCAACUCCACUGAUUUUCUUUGCCGCUGUGUAUAUCAGGGGACCUCAAAUCCAGGCCUCGAGAGAUGGGGUCCUGCAACCUGUAGAUGUCUCUGCCUCUAAAUACCUGAGUCGAAUAAUUAGGUCAUUAGCAGGACUCUGGAGAACAUGACAACACUGAGGAGGUAUUUAAGCCAUUUGAUUCAGGUGAGUUGAACCAGGGAUACAUGUAGAAGCAGCAGGACACCGGCCCUGGCCUGGAUUUGAGGACUCCUGCUCUGAACUUACUCAGUGGCAAACUUGUCACGAAGAUACUUUUGAGAUACUCUUGAUUCUGGCUCUGAAACUUGCUUCUCACACCUUGACUUUGAUUACAGCGUCACAGUUUCUUGAUGUUUUGCCUGCUCUGCUGCUGACCAUGACUGUCUCCCCAACCUUUGAUUAUGGGAUCGCAGACUGACAACCAUGCCUUUCCCAUGGUGAGCUCUGCUCAUUGCAUUAGUGCGUGUCAACUUACUCACCCUGGUAUCGGUAUUUCGCACUUCCGAACUCUGUGACACUUCUUCUCCGUGAGUGAAACAAUCCCCGGAGAAAGGACACUUGCUACUCCUUCACUGUUACGUCACAGAGGACUCAAGUCCGUCGUGGUCUGAAUCCCCAAAAAGAUGGUGGAAACCACCUCAGUUGGGUAACUAUUCAUUCGCUGACUGCACAGUACUUCCUGUUUAUGUUGCCCAUGACUCAUCACUCGUCAUAACUUGACACUAAUUUAAUUUACCUUUGAGAUCGAUAAAGUAUUUUUGAAUUUGAACCAACUGAUGAUGCAGUUGCUGUCCAUAAAACUCAUUAAACCUUACCUGGGUUUUGGUUCUCAUUCUGGGUCCAAACUGUACUAUUUCCAUUACAUUGUCUCUGGUUACCUUUAGUCUCUGUUUUGACCUAUUGUCAUGCCCUUCACCUUGUAUUUGCAAAACAUAAUUUCACUCAAUAUCACUGCUUACAAGAUGGCCACCAGAGGGGGAUGUUCUAAACUCUUACGAUCCUUGCAAGCAAAACUAUUUACAAAACUAUAACUGGCUUGGAUUUGAAUGAACUAACAAAAAACACAUGUUUUAAAUGGUGUACAUCAGAAACCAUUUUUUCCACUACUGGCCUCUAUUAUGUAUAGGAACCAAAAUCGAAAAGUUCAGCCUUUAAAAAUGUUUUUUGUUAGUCCCUCACUCAUUUUAUGGUAUAACAGUGUAAUAAUUGUAGGAUGAGUCAAUUAAAGAGCAGCAAUAGCAAGCUCUAAAUUAUUUUUAUGCAUGUAUAGCUGUUGCACAUUUAUGAAAAAAGGCCAUUCCGUUUUGAAGAAAAGCUAUCUGCUGCCCUCUAGUGCUAAUACUAAAAAUGACAAAGACUGACUUUAUGUCAUAAUGAUGUCAGUGUCUAGCAAAAAACAAAAGCCUGAACAUGUUUAUUAGAUUUCCUUAAUGAUAGUGUGUCAAAAGAAAGUAAGAUCAUCACUAAACUUAAAAGUUCUGUUUUUAGUUUAUUGCUGGACGGUUGCAAUGUCAGUUUGAGAAAUUGUAAAAUACAGGAAACAUACUUUGAAAGAAAAACCAUUUCCUUGGAGCUGGAAUGUGGAUGAAUUUUGAUUGAGUUAUCAUGAACUCAAUAACUGUUAUGACUUACGUAAUGUGGAGGAUUCUCUUCAAUGAGACUCAACAAUAACUUUUCCAGACUGCAGGAGGACAAUUAAGUUAGAUCAAACAGUGGCAUUGAGUGCAGUAAAGGUAGAAGACAUUUGGUUGAGAAAACUGUCAACCUCAAAACUUUGAUGGGACCAUUUGAUAACCUGCAAGUCCUCUUGUCCUCAGGACAUUUAAGAGUCCAUUAUAAUUAUUACAAACAAGCAUCCAUAUAUUUUUGAUGAAGUGAAAAACAAAAUUUCAGCACCACACAAAUUUGAAUCCGGUAUGUU